rnacentral:rRNA from 1 species
UACGUAGGGGGGCUAGCGUUGUCCGGAAUCAUUGGGCGUAAAGCGCGUGUAGGCGGCCCGGUAAGUCCGCUGUGAAAGUCGGGGGCUCAACCCUCGGAUGCCGGUGGAUACUGUCGGGCUUGAGUGCGGAAGAGGCGAGUGGAAUUCCUGGUGUAGCGGUGAAAUGCGCAGAUAUCAGGAGGAACACCAAUUGCGAAGGCAGCUCGCUGGGACGUGACUGACGCUGAGACGCGAAAGCGUGGGGAGCAAACAGG